rnacentral:misc_RNA from 1 species
GGCCGGACCCUGAGCUCUCUGGGCCUUUCUGAUGUCCUCAACCGAUGCAGCCAUUACCUUUUCUUUUUCAAUAAAUUAAACAACUAGACAAGACGAGAUUUUGCAGUUAUGGUCGGCUGAUAUGUGCUCCAGGCCUGGUGGAAGAAUGGGAGGGGCAAGGGGGGGGUAUAUCAAUAUAUGGGAGGUGGUAGGUUAGAUGGA